GACGAACGCUGGCGGUGUGCUUAACACAUGCAAGUCGAACGGUAAGGCCCUUUCGGGGGUACACGAGUGGCGAACGGGUGAGUAACACGUGAGUAACCUGCCCACAUCUCUGGGAUAACAGUCGGAAACGGUUGCUAAUACUGGAUAUGAGCUUGCAAGGCAUCUUGUGGGUUGGAAAGAUUUUUUUUGGUUGGGGAUGGACUCGCGGCCUAUCAGCUUGUUGGUGAGGUAGUGGCUCACCAAGGCUUCGACGGGUAGCCGGCCUGGGAGGGCGACCGGCCACAUUGGGACUGAGAUACGGCCCAAACUCCUACGGGAGGCAGCAGUGGGGAAUAUUGCACAAUGGACGGAAGUCUGAUGCAGCAACGCCGCGUGCGGGAUGACGGCCUUCGGGUUGUAAACCGCUUUCAAUUGUGACGAAGCUUUUUUGUGACGGUAGCAGUAGAAGAAGCACCGGCUAACUACGUG
rnacentral:rRNA from 1 species